rnacentral:rRNA from 1 species
UACGUAGGUGGCAAGCGUUGUCCGGAUUUACUGGGCGUAAAGAGCGCGCAGGCGGUCGAUUAAGUCGAGUGUGAAAGCCCCCGGCUCAACUGGGGAGGGUCAUUUGAUACUGGUCGACUCGAAGGCAGGAGAGGGAAGUGGAAUUCCCGGUGUAGUGGUGAAAUGCGUAGAGAUCGUGAGGAAGACCAACGGCGAAGGCAGCUCUCUGGACAAUUCCUGACGCUCAGGCACGA